GCCUCGUGCGAACGUUCCGUGAUCUCAGCUCCGCCGUUUGUCGAUCGCGAUAACCGGUUCGGUCGUCCUAUCAUUAGGCGUCCUUAGAACUAUACUAAUUGUUUAGUGCCGUUCUCACUCUUGAAAAACUUCCACACUUUGGACACAGUGAUUUAAAUACUUUUUUUAAUUAAGAUUGGUGUUUUAAAAAACUUUUGUGAAGUGUUGUUAUAUUUGUCGUAAAUUCUAAUUAAAUGUAAUAAACAAUUGUCAGUGAAUAAUUAUUACCUGUGAAACUUUACUGUGUUUUUAAGCGUAAGUUCAAUUUGCGUGAAGUUUUGAAGUUCGUAAUAAAGUUCUGUGAGUAAUUUGGUAAAGUGAAAACCCAAACUAAUUCCUUUGAACUUUGCACCGUGAAAGCUCUACUAUUCCACAACAGAUCCGAGGAACUCGACGAAGUGCACUCGAAAAUAGACAUAUUCUGCAAGUCAUCUCACUCCAACAAAUAUUUCAAACAAAAUAACGCAACGUAACAUGUCAUAAGGUACAUAUUGGUGAUGAGAGGAUGAGCCAUGGAAUCACGCAGCGCGCCGCCGAGCCCCGAGGAUCCCGGGGAGGCGGUGUUCGACACUCGAUGCGGUCGAUACCCGCACCAGCCAUCCCUGCAAAGAAACUUCGCCAGCUGUCGCGAAACGACGCGUCCACGUCCCCUCCAUCGCCAUGCUGCAUCUGAACCUGCACGGCCUGAUGAUCACGUCCUAACUACUGCCGAGGUUCACGACUAUCCCUCUUCUGAAUCAGGCAUAGCGGCAGACUGCCCUCAUCCACACACGAGUAACGCAGAAGACAGUCCUUCAUACGACAGAUCAGAUUACGAAGGGAACUGUAACUAUACUCUCAGGCGUACACCUGAUUAUCAUCAUACACUCGACUGUAAACAUAGGACCCUAGAUUAUAAUCGAAGUCGAACUCCUGAUUACAGUCAUGGACAUAUUAACGAUUUUGACCGGGGUCAUAGUAAAACACAACAGCCUCGUCGAACGCAUAGGAAGCACAGACGAGAAGAAGACGACGGUGCUCAUUCUUUGGAUGAACGAUGCGCACGCGACCUUGACGAAAUCUUACCGGCCAGACUUGCAGCAGUUAACUUGUCAAGAGAACCGCCACCGCAGACGUGGGAUCGCAGCAACAUCACCGCUACUAUGGAGCGAUUUGAGCCGAUUGAUUAUUCAUAUGCUUACUACGACCACCAUUUAUCGAUGCCGUCGUCUUCAAGAAAAGCAAAUCGACAACGAGGACGUGGUGCAGUUCCACGGGAGCGAACCUCUCGUCACAAUUAUGUCACAAGAUAUGGAACGGAAGAAAAUAUCUACGAAGAAAUUACUGAUGGUACGAGAACUUGCCCAAAACAUCGCUACGUUCCUAGGCAGUCGCUAGUAUCGCUGGACAGAAGCGUGGUUGAAGAAGAGGUCCGCCGCGUAGAGUCAAGGCAUAAGCGAAUUUUAGGCGAACUGAAUCUAAGUGUCGAAGCCAUGCUGAUGCCUGAGUGUGAAUCGCCUGACUCAGAACGUGCAGAAGAUAGAGACAAUAUUGAAGAAUUACUAAGAGUGGGCCCAACGGAUGAGCUACUAUCACCGGCCAGUUGUAAUCCUCCGGAUUUAGAUAGCGGUUUUAGUGGGAGUAGUAGCGGUGCAAGCUAUGUGGGCAGCCUUCGUCGUAAGCCAACAGGCUCGGUACCGCAUUUACCUGCUGUGGCAUACGGGACACGCACUGCAGGUGUGAAGAUACUGAGUGCCGAAGAAUGUGGUGUACGAUUUCCAAGGGAUUCGCAAUCUCCUAGGAGCUCAAGUUGUGGGGAUGCAAAAGCCAGUGGAUUUUGGAAUAAAAAAUCCUGGAAGAAAAUAUCUGGGUUCUCCAGCUCGAAUAGCAUUAACAAAGCAGGCCUCACGGGUCUGCUCGUUAGGUACACUUUCCGGCGUAAGUCCGGCUCGCAGGGCUCACAGGGCAGGCGGCGGACCGAGCCCGUCAAAUGCGAUGCGUGCCUCUCACAACGAUGUUAGCCGCACUAUCGAUGAAGCGUGUAGGCCAAGCAGACCUAAAUCCAGAACAGCCACUAUCCCGUACAGCUACUCCAACGGAAAACUGGUGGUGCCGCUGGAUUCCGUAGCACAGAGCUGAGGGGACU
rnacentral:misc_RNA from 1 species